rnacentral:lncRNA from 1 species
AUCAGAUCUAAAGCUCUAAGUUGGAACCAUUGUUUCAUACCUGAGCUAUUUGAUCUAGAUUAGCACUCGGGGACCCUCCCUUAUGGUGCCGUUGAUAUUCCGUGAUCUUUAGCAUUAUCUGGUUAUUAUACAAGGAACUCAAAGCAAUCUCAGGAGAUGAUGCAUAGGACUUAUCAAGACAUACUUAGGCGGACCUGUGCCGUAGUGACUUAAAACGAGACAAGAACUAGUUAAUUUAUGUUAUGUACACUUUGAUUCUUGUUUAGACAAUGUAAACUGUCACACCCCCAAAAUCCACACGCGGAGUAUCACCGCUUGGGAGCGUGACUGACCAGGAUCAAGCCACCAAUCAUAUUGAACAUGCAAUUA